rnacentral:rRNA from 1 species
CUUGCUUGGUGGAUCAUUGGCGAACGGGUGAGUAACACGUGAGCAACCUGCCCUGGACUCUGGGAUAAGCGCUGGAAACGGUGUCUAAUACUGGAUAUGAGAUGUGAUCGCAUGGUCAUGUUUGGAAAGAUUUUUCGGUCUGGGAUGGGCUCGCGGCCUAUCAGCUUGUUGGUGAGGUAAUGGCUCACCAAGGCGUCGACGGGUAGCCGGCCUGAGAGGGUGACCGGCCACACUGGGACUGAGACACGGCCCAGACUCCUACGGGAGGCAGCAGUGGGGAAUAUUGCACAAUGGGCGGAAGCCUGAUGCAGCAACGCCGCGUGAGGGAUGACGGCCUUCGGGUUGUAAACCUCUUUUAGCAGGGAAGAAGCGUAAGUGACGGUACCUGCAGAAAAAGCGCCGGCUAACUACGUGCCAGCAGCCGCGGUAAUACGUAGGGCGCAAGCGUUAUCCGGAAUUAUUGGGCGUAAAGAGCUCGUAGGCGGUUUGUCGCGUCUGCUGUGAAAUCCCGAGGCUCAACCUCGGGUCUGCAGUGGGUACGGGCAGACUAGAGUGCGGUAGGGGAGAUUGGAAUUCCUGGUGUAGCGGUGGAAUGCGCUNAUAUCANGAGGAACACCGAUGGCNAAGGCNNAUCUCUGGGCCGNANNUGACNNNGANGAGCNNANGGGUGGGGANC